rnacentral:rRNA from 1 species
GACGAACGCUGGCGGCGUGCUUAACACAUGCAAGUCGAACGGAAAGGCCCUGCUUUUGUGGGGUGCUCGAGUGGCGAACGGGUGAGUAACACGUGAGUAACCUGCCCUUGACUUUGGGAUAACUUCAGGAAACUGGGGCUAAUACCGGAUAGGAGCUCCUGCUGCAUGGUGGGGGUUGGAAAGUUUCGGCGGUUGGGGAUGGACUCGCGGCUUAUCAGCUUGUUGGUGGGGUAGUGGCUUACCAAGGCUUUGACGGGUAGCCGGCCUGAGAGGGUGACCGGCCACAUGGGGACUGAGAUACGGCCCAGACUCCUACGGGGGGCAGGAGUGGGGAAUUUUGCACAAGGGGCGGAAGCGUGAUGCAGCAACGCCGGGUGGGGGAGGACGGCCUUGGGGUUGUAAACCGCUUUCGCCUGUGACGAAGGGUGGGUGACGGUAAUGGGGAAAGAAGCACCGGCUAACUACGU